rnacentral:rRNA from 1 species
UACGUAGGUGGCAAGCGUUGUCCCGGAUUUACUGGGCGUAAAGAGCGCGCAGGCGGUCGUCCAAGUCGAAUGUGAAAGCCCCCGGCUCAACUGGGGAGGGUCAUCGAUACUGUUCGACUCGAAGGCAGGAGAGGGGAAGUGGAAUUCCGGGUGUAGUGGUGAAAAUGCGUAGAUAUCCGGAGGAACACCAGUGGCGAAGGCGACUUUUCUGGCCUGUUCUGACGCUGAGGCGCGAAGGCCAGGGGAGCAAACGGGG